UUGGAGUUCAUGCAAGUUCUAACC
rnacentral:ncRNA from 5 species